AAAAUACCCGCUUGUCCGUCCUGUCCCUUCAGGCUGCGCAACGCUGGAGGGCGAUGGGAGCUCCACACAGGUGGGACGAGCCUAGCAGUGAUGCUGCCUGGAGUUAAAGGAGGCCAGGAGCACCAGAAGCUGGAGGAGGCCGGGGUGGAUUCUCGCCUGGAGGCUUCAGUGGGAGCACGAGCUCCCGACACUUCGGUUCCAUCUCUUGUUUAAAGGCACCCAGUUUCUCAUCAUUUGUUACAGCACCAUGGAAAACCCACACACAAGUGAAGCCCCGACCCACCUCCCAAGUGCCCAUCUGAGCACCCCUCGUGGACUCUGAGCAGGGGGUUGCCAUCACCAACUCCAAGUCUUGCAGCCCCUCUUCCCUUCAGUCUGGCUGCCACCUUCUUCAUUGCCCUGGAAAAAAAUAAUGAAGUUUCACCAUUUAAAGGGUUUCAGUGCAGCUUGCUAUGGGAACACUGGAGAGUAACACAAAUGGCCAAUUGUCCUAAUAGCCACCAUGGAUUGGAUGGAUGCU
rnacentral:lncRNA from 1 species